UACGUAGGGGGCAAGCGUUGUCCGGAUUUAUUGGGCGUAAAGAGCGUGUAGGCGGCCAUACAGGUCAGCUGUGAAAACUCGAGGCUCAACCUCGAGACGCCGAUGGAAACCCUCAGACUAGAGUCCGGAAGAGGAGAGUGGAAUUCCCGGUGUAGCGGUGAAAUGCGCAGAUAUCGGGAAGAACACCCGUGGCGAAGGCGGCUCUCUGGGACGGUACUGACGCUGAGACGCGAAAGCGUGGGGAGCGAACAGG
rnacentral:rRNA from 1 species